GCUAAGAAUAUUCCGCAAUGGACGAAAGUCUGACGGAGCGACGCCGCGUGGAUGAUGAAGGCCGAAAGGUUGUAAAGUCCUUUUGCUGGGGAAGAAUAAGCGUGGGAGGGAAUGCCCGCGUGAUGACAUGAACCGGCGAAUAAGCCCCGGCUAACUACGUGCCAGCAGCCGCGGUAACACGUAGGGGGCAAGCGUUGUUCGGAAUUACUGGGCGUAAAGGGCAUGUAGGCGGCCUUGUAAGCUUGGCGUGAAAGUCCACGGCUUAACCGUGGUAGUGCGUUGAGAACUGCGAGGCUUGAGUGACGGAGAGGGAGCUAGAAUUCCUGGUGUAGGGGUGGAAUCUGUAGAGAUCAGGAAGAAUACCAAUGGCGAAGGCAAGCUCCUGUCCGAAGACUGACGCUGAGGUGCGAAAGUGUGGGGAUCAAACAGGAUUAGAAACCCCGGUAGUCC
rnacentral:rRNA from 1 species